GCGGGCUUCCAGGGCCUUCCAGGGCCUUCCAGGGUUUCCCAGGCAAAGAUACUGGCUGCCGUUUCCACUCCAGGGGAUCUUCCCGACUCAGGGAUAGAACCAUAGAACCUCUUGCAUUGCAGGCGGAUUCUUUACUGAUUGAGCCACCAGGAAAGCCUGAGAGACGGCAGGGUCUGGCCGGCCGGGAACCCCCGUGUGGCUCUGGUCCUCGUGCUCCCGCCUCGUUCCUGGGCCCAGGGCUCUCAGGUUAUUUUUAGCCUGUCCUCUGACCGGGAUUCCAGCUGGAUGACGUUUCCCGCUGGAGAGGGUGGGUGGAGGUGCUGGAGCCCUGCCCCGUCCUGGACUUGCACUUGCAGCCCGACCUCUGUUUCGGCUUUGACCACGUUACUCAGUUUUCUAACGCCCAGUGUUGCUAGCUUUGCCUGGUGGCUCAGCAGUAAAGAAUCUGUCUGCCAAGCAGAAGUGAGUUCAAUCCCUGGUCAGGAAGAUCCCCUGAAGAAGGAAAUGGCAACCCACUCCAGUCUUCUUACUUGGAGAAUCCCAUGGACAGAGGAGCCUGGUGGGCUAUAGUCCAUGGGGUCACAAAGAGUUGGAAAUGACUGAGCGACUAAACAAGUGUCUUUUCACAUGGUUAUUAGUGCUGCGUUCAUAUAUCUUCUUGGAGAAGAGUCUGUUAAGCCUUUUGCCCAUUUCUUGCUUGUCUAAUUCAAUGUUAAGGGUUCUUUGUAUAUUCUGGAUAUGAGCUGUUUAUCAGCUAUGCGAUUUACAUAUAUUUUC